rnacentral:rRNA from 1 species
CGCGGCCUAUCAGCUUGUUGGUGAGGUAAUGGCUCACCAAGGCGACGACGGGUAGCCGGCCUGAGAGGGUGACCGGCCACACUGGGACUGAGACACGGCCCAGACUCCUACGGGAGGCAGCAGUGGGGAAUAUUGCACAAUGGGCGAAAGCCUGAUGCAGCGACGCCGCGUGAGGGACGACGGCCUUCGGGUUGUAAACCUCUUUCAGCAGGGAAUAAGCGAAAGUGAAGGUACCUGCAGAAGAAGCACCGGCUAACUACGUGCCAGCAGCCGCGGUAAUACGUAGGGUGCAAGCGUUAUCCGGAAUUAUUGGGCGUAAAGAGCUCGUAGGCGGUUUGUCGCGUCCGUCGUGAAAGUCCGGGGCUCAACUCCGGAUCUGCGGUGGGUACGGGCAGACUAGAGUGAUGUAGGGGAGACUGGAAUUCCUGGUGUAGCGGUGGAAUGCGCAGAUAUCAGGAGGAACACCGAUGGCGAAGGCAGAUCUCUGGGCAUUAACUGACGCUGAGGAGCGAAAGCAUGGGGAGCGAACAGGAUUAGAUACCCUGGUAGUCCAUGCCGUAAACGUUGGGCACUAGGUGUGGGGGACAUUCCACGUUUUCCGCGCCGUAGCUAACGCAUUAAGUGCCCCGCCUGGGGAGUACGG